GCCUGGCCUCCCCGGUCCUGCAGUGAGGUCAUAACUCAGGGUUGAUCACAUCACAGCACGUUGCCAUGGUGAUGCUUGAACUGUCACAAAGGAUGUGUGCUAUGAUUUCACAGCAGAUGGGCUGUGAGGGAGG
rfam:Columba livia unplaced genomic scaffold scaffold216, whole genome shotgun sequence.